CUCUCUCAAAUUUCUCUCUCGGCUUCUCGCUUAUUUUUGCAACUCUCUCUUCUUCUCUUUUGGUUCGGUUGCAUCAAGAGAAAGGAAGAAGCUCUCUAGCUCUUCCUCUAGUCCUCUUUAAUUGGAAUUGCAUCAAAGAAGAAGGAUUGCAUCUUCUUCUCCCUUGGACGGCAAAUUUUGAAAAGGAGAAUCAAGGAUCCUCUUCAUCAUGAGAAGUUCUCUUAAUUCCUCUCUUUCUCUUCCUCACAAGUGUCUAGCAACAAAGAGGAAAGAAGGAUCUCUCUCUCUCGGGUUUUGAAUAAGUGAUUAUAUUUAUGGAUCAAUCAUUGUAGCAGGAAAGAACUGAAUGAAGGCAGGAGCUGCUAGGUUAUGGAUGAGACCUUUAGUUUGUAGAUGUUAUAUACAACGGUUAUGUAAUGUUUGUGCCGCAUGUGGUUAUGAGGAGGAGGAGUACCAGGAUUACCCUGAUCCUUAGGUGGAUCCUAUUGACAGUACUUGAGGCUAGCUUGCCUCCAUUUUGUGGAUUGCUGUGUUCCAGUCUUUCAUUAUAUUAUCUUGAGAACGAUAUUUAUAUUUCUGUUGGUGUGUAUUAGCGAUACUCUAGUUAUUUUGACUUGUAAAUUAUAUGUGUCUUGUGUGGCACAAAUACUAUCUUAUGUGUAAUUAUUAAGUUAAACUUUAUAUAUC